rnacentral:rRNA from 1 species
GACGGAGGGUGCUAGCGUUGUUCGGAUUCAUUGGGCGUAAAGGGUGCGUAGGCGGUCGUGCAAGUCGGAUGUGAAAUCUCAGGGCUCAACCCUGAAACUGCAUUCGAUACUGCGCGGCUAGAGUGCUGGAGGGGAGACUGGAAUUUACGGUGUAGCAGUGAAAUGCGUAGAUAUCGGGAAGAACACCCGUGGCGAAGGCGGUUCUCUGGGACGGUACUGACGCUGAGACGCGAAAGCGUGGGGGAGCGAAACAGG